UGGGGAAUAUUGCACAAUGGGCGCAAGCCUGAUGCAGCCAUGCCGCGAGUAUGAAGAAGGACGUCGGGUUGUAAAGUACUUUAAGCGGGGAGGAAGGGAGUAAAGGGAAUACCGUUGCUCAUGGACGGUACCCGGAGAAGAAGCACCGGCUAAAUCGGUGCCAGCAGCGGCGGUAAUACGGAGGGUGCAAGCGGUAAGCGGAAUUACGGGGCGUAAAGCGCACGCAGGCGGUUUGUUAAGUCAGAUGUGAAAUCCCCGGGCUCAACCUGGGAACUGCAUCUGAUACUGGCAAGCUUGAGUCUCGUAGAGGGGGGUAGAAUUCCAGGUGUAGCGGUGAAAUGCGUAGAGAUCUGGAGGAAUACCGGUGGCGAAGGCGGCCCCCUGGACGAAGACUGACGCUCAGGUGCGAAAGCGUGGGGAGCAAACAGG
rnacentral:rRNA from 1 species